GACACAGAGCAGGGGGCUUUCAGCUGAUUCGAUUGUAUGCUUGCCUUUUGUAACAAACAAGACAGGAAAUAGUCAAACUGGAAGCAACGAUUCGUGUGUCAUCUGCCGUGUAGACUACGAGGAUGGUGACUCCUUAACGUCACUUUCUUGCAAGCAUUCAUAUCAUCUCGAGUGCAUAAAUAAUUGGUUGAAAAUAAACAAGGUCUGCCCUGUUUUUAAUGCUGAGGUCUCAACUUGAAGGCAAAGCUAGUAUUUUUCGGACAGAG